GAGAGCUACGUGCACCGAAAGGUGCCCGCGUGGUUCGGACCGGGGGCCGCUGGAGCAGGACCGUGGCGACACGGCACCUCGCCAGCGGCCUACCGGUGU
rnacentral:ncRNA from 1 species